UACGUAGGGGGCUAGCGUUAUCCGGAAUUACUGGGCGUAAAGGGUGCGUAGGUGGUUUCUUAAGUCAGAGGUGAAAGGCUACGGCUCAACCGUAGUAAGCCUUUGAAACUGGGGAACUUGAGCGCAGGAGAGGAGAGUGGAAUUCCUAGUGUAGCGGUGAAAUGCGUAGAUAUUAGGAGGAACACCAGUUGCGAAGGCGGCUCUCUGGACUGUAACUGACACUGAGGCACGAAAGCGUGGGGAGCAAACAGG
rnacentral:rRNA from 1 species